GUGGGUUUUGCUGCAACUGGUUUAUUUUCCUCCUGUUUUCACCUAUUCUGGCCCAGUCUGGCACCAUUGCCCUUAUUGUGAUGCUGAGCCUAAAAAUGCAAAGCAGAGAGGCAGGGCCAAAAUUGAGGCGAAUCUGGGAGCCUGCCAAUGGGUCUCCAGGUGCUGUCUCUGAAACUGGAGGAUAUCAGGAGGAAGGGUUCUCCCAUAUGGAGAUAAUGGAGAAGCUCUUGGCAUGGUUGGCCAUAGGUAUGUGAUACCAGAGGAGUGGGAGUCAAAUAGGAUAUGCUGACUUUUAAUUCAAGCUACCCUUUUCUGAAACACUUUGCCACAAUGAAGGAAAUAAGGAAUUAUACUCUCAGAGAUGUCAGGAAAAGAUACAUGGAUCUUGGAAGAUAAUUACUCACGAUAUGCAGGGAAGGAAUUAAAUUGAAGGGCAUUUUUCUUAGAGAAUAUCAUUUGGCAUACUUAUUUGAUCAAGAAGUUGAAGAUUUAUAUAAUAAGGGUCUAGUUUGAAGCACUAAGAAGAAUAAGUCAUCAGUUUGAAAAGAGGCUCUAAUAGAGGACACAAA